ensembl:lncRNA
CUGUCACUAUCUCUAUGUCAUACAAUCUCUCGGUAGUUCUCUUGUUUGAUUUAGCACCUCCAUAUCACUUUGUCCCCACCUCCUUGGCUUGCUCCCUCCAUGCAGUGUGUCUGUAUAAAAGGCCCUGCCUCCCGCUCUGCUGUUACUCUCACUCAAGUGGCCGGUCACACACUCGCUCUGCGGACCAGCUACAGCUCUGUCAGUCUCCGAGUGGAUUAUUACUGUCACUGCAGCAAGCAGCGAUCCAAAAGGAUCUAUAUUUUGUCUGUCAGACUGACAACUGCACUUAAUCACAGUAUGAAGCAUAGAUGGCUGCUUCUGUCUCUGCCUCACCUGCCCACCAUCACUGAGACCCUGGAAGACUCUGAUACCCUGGGGGCCACGGGCCACCUAGCCCAUCCUGCCCAGUCUGUUUCCCAGUCUCCAUCCCAG